GAUUAACGCUGGCGGCGUGCUUAACACAUGCAAGUCGAACGGAAAGGCCCUGCUUUUGUGGGGUGCUCGAGUGGCGAACGGGUGAGUAACACGUGAGUAACCUGCCCUUGACUUUGGGAUAACUUCAGGAAACUGGGGCUAAUACCGGAUAGGAGCUCUUGCUGCAUGGUGGGGGUUGGAAAGUUUCGGCGGUUGGGGAUGGACUCGCGGCUUAUCAGCUUGUUGGUGGGGUAGUGGCUUACCAAGGCUUUGACGGGUAGCCGGCCUGAGAGGGUGACCGGCCACAUUGGGACUGAGAUACGGCCCAGACUCCUACGGGAGGCAGCAGUGGGGAAUAUUGCACAAUGGGCGGAAGCCUGAUGCAGCAACGCCGCGUGCGGGAUGACGGCCUUCGGGUUGUAAACCGCUUUCGCCUGUGACGAAGCGUGAGUGACGGUAAUGGGUAAAGAAGCACCGGCUAACUACGUG
rnacentral:rRNA from 1 species